rnacentral:rRNA from 1 species
GAGUUUGAUCAUGGCUCAGAUUGAACGCUGGCGGCAGGCCUAACACAUGCAAGUCGAACGGUAACAGGAAGAAGCUUGCUUCUUUGCUGACGAGUGGCGGACGGGUGAGUAAUGUCUGGGAAACUGCCUGAUGGAGGGGGAUAACGUACUGGAAACGGUAGCUAAUACCGCAUAACGUCGCAAGACCAAAGAGGGGGACCUUCGGGCCUCUUGCCAUCGGAUGUGCCCAGAUGGGAUUAGCUAGUAGGUGGGGUAACGGCUCACCUAGGCGACGAUCCCUAGCUGGUCUGAGAGGAUGACCAGCCACACUGGAACUGAGACACGGUCCAGACUCCUACGGGAGGCAGCAGUGGGGAAUAUUGCACAAUGGGCGCAAGCCUGAUGCAGCCAUGCCGCGUGUAUGAAGAAGGCCUUCGGGUUGUAAAGUACUUUCAGCGGGGAGGAAGGGAGUAAAGUUAAUACCUUUGCUCAUUGACGUUACCCGCAGAAGAAGCACCGGCUAACUCCGUGCCAGCAGCCGCGGUAAUACGGAGGGUGCAAGCGUUAAUCGGAAUUACUGGGCGUAAAGCGCACGCAGGCGGUUUGUUAAGUCAGAUGUGAAAUCCCCGGGCUCAACCUGGGAACUGCAUCUGAUACUGGCAAGCUUGAGUCUCGUAGAGGGGGGUAGAAUUCCAGGUGUAGCGGUGAAAUGCGUAGAGAUCUGGAGGAAUACCGGUGGCGAAGGCGGCCCCCUGGACGAAGACUGACGCUCAGGUGCGAAAGCGUGGGGAGCAAACAGGAUUAGAUACCCUGGUAGUCCACGCCGUAAACGAUGUCGACUUGGAGGUUGUGCCCUUGAGGCGUGGCUUCCGGAGCUAACGCGUUAAGUCGACCGCCUGGGGAGUACGGCCGCAAGGUUAAAACUCAAAUGAAUUGACGGGGGCCCGCACAAGCGGUGGAGCAUGUGGUUUAAUUCGAUGCAACGCGAAGAACCUUACUGGUCUUGACAUCCACAGAACUUUCCAGAGAUGGAAUGUGCCUUCGGGAACCGUGAGACAGGUGCUGCAUGGCUGUCGUCAGCUCGUGUUGUGAAAUGUUGGGUUAAGUCCCGCAACGAGCGCAACCCUUAUCCUUUGUUGCCAGCGGUCCGGCCGGGAACUCAAAGGAGACUGCCAGUGAUAAACUGGAGGAAGGUGGGGAUGACGUCAAGUCAUCAUGGCCCUUACGACCAGGGCUACACACGUGCUACAAUGGCGCAUACAAAGAGAAGCGACCUCGCGAGAGCAAGCGGACCUCAUAAAGUGCGUCGUAGUCCGGAUUGGAGUCUGCAACUCGACUCCAUGAAGUCGGAAUCGCUAGUAAUCGUGGAUCAGAAUGCCACGGUGAAUACGUUCCCGGGCCUUGUACACACCGCCCGUCACACCAUGGGAGUGGGUUGCAAAAGAAGUAGGUAGCUUAACCUUCGGGAGGGCGCUUACCACUUUGUGAUUCAUGACUGGGGUGAAGUCGUAACAAGGUAACCGUAGGGGAACCUGCGGUUGGAUCACC